UACAGAACAACUAUCUAGAAUUCUACCAAACCCACACUGAACUUCUGGAUAACUAAGUGCCCUCUAGCCUAUAAACCUAACUUUUGUAAAUGAUAAAUUCAGAAAUUACUCCAAGAAUCAAUAAAUAUUCAUUCAAUGUCUAUUAAUGCCACAAUAAUGCUAGAGAGGCCACAGAAGAGACAGGCCUUACAAAAUGCUACAGUUAGGUCUGAACGUGUUGUUGAAGAAAGUCACCAAACAGAAUUUCAGACAGUGGAUGCAGUACAAGUCCACCAUCUUGUGGCUGAAAAAUGAAAUGCUAGCUGAUUUUCCACCAGUACUAUCUGAAGUCGGAAAAAAUAUUAGAGAAAAUAGCUUGGAAUUUUAAAAUCUAUACCAAGUAAUUUUUCCAAGAUGUAGGCUUUGCAACUACUUCCAGAGCUCUCUAAAACAAUUUAAAGAUUUUCACCAAAGAGCAUGAAAGAGAUGAUAUACACAAAAAAAGGAAACGUUUUAAAGUUAAUCUCUACGCCCAACAUAGGUCUUGAACGCAUGUUCCUAAGGAUCAAGAGUUGCAUGCUAUUCGACUGAGCCAGCCAGGAACAAAUUACACUUCUCACAAAAGAUUUUCCAUAGAUCUCACAGGCCUUUCCACCAUGUAAGAAUACAAAUCUGUAAUCCAGAAGAGCCCUCACUCAAUCAUGCUGACACCCUGAUCUCAGACUACAGAACUAAAAAAUAAAUUUAUGUUGUUUAUAAACUA